rnacentral:rRNA from 1 species
AUGCUCACCUUUCUGCGCCGCGUUACUGCUUCUGCACCAUCCUCAAGUUCUGCUGGUUCUGCUAGUCAGACGUCUGGUCCACCACCGCACUCUUUAUCAGGUACAUCUUUGCCCUGGAUUCUUGAUUCUGGGGCCUCCUUCCACAUGACACCACACAAAGAUCACCUUUGUGCUGUCAACUCUGUGCCUUCUCCACUUACGAUUCAGACUGCAGAUGGCACUUCUCUUCCUGUUGCCGCAAGAGGGACUCUUUCCAUGUCUUCUUUUCAUGUCCCUGCCAUUUCUCAUGUUCCUAAACUGACUAUGCAACUUCUAUCUGUUGGUCAACUUACUGACUUGGGUUGUCGUGUUAUUCUGGAUUCUGACUCUUGUUGUGUUUAG